rnacentral:tRNA from 1 species
UCCCUGGUGGCUCAGACAGUAAAGAAUCUGCCUGUAAUGCAGGAGACCCAGGUUCAACCCCGGGUCAGGAAA